ACGGUUCCGGUUCACGGCCUUGACACACGAGGUCGACCCGGCGGCC
rnacentral:ncRNA from 1 species